GACGUAGGGCGCGAGCGUUGUCCGGAUUAUUGGGCGUAAAGAGCUCGUAGGCGGCUUGUCGCGUCGACUGUGAAAACCGCGGCUCAACUGCGGGCCUGCAGCCGAUACGGGCAGGCUAGGAGUUCGGUAGGGAGACUGGAAUUCCUGGUGUAGCGGUGAAAUGUGCAGAGUAUCAGGAGGAACACCGGUGGCGAAGGCGGAUCUCUGGGCCUUGCCUGACGCUGGAGGCGACGAAAGCUAGGGAGCGAACAGG
rnacentral:rRNA from 1 species